GAGAUGUAGCGAGGGGAACACUCCUAGUAUAUAGGUGUGUUGGAGCCCUCCCUCUUGGGGAGUAAGGCUCAAGGCCCUAGGCCGUUAGUAGGGGUAUGGAUUUGUCCACACCUAAGUAAAUCUCCAGUGGUGUCACAGAAUCGGAGGCCCCGACUGUUUACUUAAAACACAGCUUUCUGCUACGAAUAAUCUCUUUGUAUAGAAAGCGAAUUUUGCCCGAUGCCAUUAAUAUAAAGUUGAUAAGCGCUUAGCGUAUUUAUUGACUGAAGUUCUGGUCAAUGGCGGUCUUAUCUAUGAGGAUCCUAAGGUAGCAAAAUUAAUUGUCCAUUAAAGUGGGKCCUGAACUGAAUAAAGUAACGAUGGUCUCACUGGUCUCUACAAGUAUCU
rnacentral:rRNA from 1 species